rnacentral:rRNA from 1 species
AACAGGGAUUGCCUCAGUAACGGCGAGUGAAGCGGCAACAGCUCAAAUUUGAAAUCUGGCCCUCGGGUCCGAGUUGUAAUUUGCAGAGGAUGCUUUUGGCGAGGUGCCUUCCGAGUUCCCUGGAACGGGACGCCAUAGAGGGUGAGAGCCCCGUCUGGUCGGACACCAAUCCUAUGUAAAGCUCCUUCGACGAGUCGAGUAGUUUGGGAAUGCUGCUCUAAAUGGGAGGUAUAUGUCUUCUAAAGCUAAAUACCGGCCAGAGACCGAUAGCGCACAAGUAGAGUGAUCGAAAGAUGAAAAGCACUUUGAAAAGAGAGUUAAACAGUACGUGAAAUUGUUGAAAGGGAAGCGCUCAUGACCAGACUUGGGCUUGGUUGAUCAACCUGGGUUCUCCCGGGCGCACUCUUCCUCGUCCAGGCCAGCAUCAGUUCGCUGCGGGGGAUAAAGGUUUCGGGAAUGUGGCUCCCUCGGGAGUGUUAUAGCCCGUUGCGUAAUACCCUGCGGUGGACUGAGGUCCGCGUUCUGCAAGGAUGCUGGCGUAAUGGUCAUCAGCGACCCGUCUUGAAACACGGACCAAGGAGUCGUCUUCGUAUGCGAGUGUUCGGGUGUUAAACCCCUACGCGGAAUGAAAGUGAACGCAGGUGAGAGCUUCGGCGCAUCAUCGACCGAUCCUGAUGUUCUCGGAUGGAUUUGAGUAAGAGCAUACGGGGCCGGACCCGAAAGAAGGUGAACUAUGCCUGUAUAGGGUGAAGCCAGAGGAAACUCUGGUGGAGGCUCGCAGCGGUUCUGACGUGCAAAUCGAUCGUCAAAUAUGGGCAUGGGGGCGAAAGACUAAUCGAACCUUCUAGUAGCUGGU